ACAAAGUAUACAAGAGCUAGCGGUUUGUGAGAGAUGAUUCUAAGAAUAAGAGCAGCAAGACAAGGAGCCCAAUGUGCAAUCAAGACCUGGCGAAGAUGUGGCGUUGAGGCUCAGGAUGGUUGAUCCAGUUCCCAAGACUGUUAUUUACUUGUGAAAUUCUGUUUGAAUGUGUUUUUCCCCUUUUAGCAAGAUAUUACAGUCUAAUUUUUUUUAUUUUCGUUCAA